rnacentral:tRNA from 1 species
GGGAAUGUAGCUCAGUUGGUAGAGUUAUUUGCCUAGCAUGCAAGAAACCUGGGUUUGAUCCCCAGUGCCA